UGGCUGAGUGGUAAAGCGCUUGGCUUGCGAUCCGAUGGGUCCCAGGUUUGAAUCCUGG
rnacentral:tRNA from 1 species